CACGCCGUAAACGAUGAGUACUAGGUGUUGGGGGAGACAUCCUUCAGUGCCGCAGUUAACACAUUAAGUACUCCGCCUGGGGAGUACGGUCGCAAGACUGAAACUCAAAGGAAUUGACGGGGGCCCGCACAAGCAGCGGAGCAUGUGGUUUAAUUCGACGCAACGCGAAGAACCUUACCAGGGCUUGACAUCCCUCUGACCGCUUUAGAGAUAGAGUUUUCCCUUCGGGGACAGGGGUGACAGGUGG
rnacentral:rRNA from 1 species